GCGGCGCUGUGUGACCGGGACGGGGCGCGCUGGGGAGGCCGGGCCGAGGUGAGGCCCGCUGCCCGACACUCACGCACGGCUCCACUGAGGCUACAAGAACGCGAAAAAGCCUACUGGCCUGAGCAAGGAGCCCUGAGAAUCAGAAGAGCAGGAAAAAGAAAGAAGCACAAGAAUGAGGAGAAAAAUAGCACAGGACCAAGUAGGUCCUCGGGUUACAUCGGAGAUCCGUUCCUAUGGCACCACGUAAUGUAAUGUGAUUUCGCCAUAAGUCGGAACCCACCUACAUAAGCACCUAUGUCACUCACAUGGAGCACAUACACAGCAGCAAUGAAGUGAAACAGUAAAAAAAAAUUUAAAAGAUAACAAUUCCUGACCUUUA